UACGUAGGGUGCGAGCGUUAAUCGGAAUUACUGGGCGUAAAGCGUGCGCAGGCGGCUUUGCAAGACAGAUGUGAAAUCCCCGGGCUCAACCUGGGAACUCCAUUUGUGACUGCAAGGCUAGAGUACGGCAGAGGGGGAUGGAAUUCCGCGUGUAGCAGUGAAAUGCGUAGAUAUGCGGAGGAACACCAAUGGCGAAGGCAAUCCCCUGGGCCUGUACUGACGCUCAUGCACGAAAGCGUGGGGAGCAAACAGG
rnacentral:rRNA from 1 species